rnacentral:rRNA from 1 species
CGCCCUUCAGAGGGGGACAACAGUUGGAAACGACUGCUAAUACCGCAUACGAUCCAAUCUCGGCAUCGAGACUGGAUGAAAGGUGGCCUCUAUUUAUAAGCUAUCACUGAAGGAGGGGAUUGCGUCUGAUUAGCUAGUUGGAGGGUAACGGCCCACCAAGGCGAUGAUCAGUAGCCGGUCUGAGAGGAUGAACGGCCACAUUGGGACUGAGACACGGCCCAG